ACACAUGCAAGUCGAACGGUAACAGAAAAAGCUUGCUUUUUGCUGACGAGUGGCGAACGGGUGCGUAACGCGUAUGCAACCUACCUUCUUCUAAGGAAUAGCCCAGAGAAAUUUGGAUUAAUACCUUAUGAUAAUAUUUAUUCGCAUGUUUAAAUAUUUAAAACUCCGGUGGAAGAAGAUGGGCAUGCGUAACAUUAGUUUGUUGGUGAGGUAAUGGCUCACCAAGACUACGAUGUUUAGGGGGUCUGAGAGGAUGAUCCCCCACACUGGUACUGAGACACGGACCAGACUCCUACGGGAGGCAGCAGUGAGGAAUAUUGGUCAAUGGACGAAAGUCUGAACCAGCCAUGCCGCGUGAAGGAUGACGGCCCUACGGGUUGUAAACUUCUUUUGUAUAGGAAGAAACCCCUCUACGUGUAGAGGGUUGACGGUACUAUUCGAAUAAGCACCGGCUAACUCCGUGCCAGCAGCCGCGGUAAUACGGAGGGUGCGAGCGUUAUCCGGAAUUAUUGGGUUUAAAGGGUGCGUAGGCGGAAAUUUAAGUCAGUGGUGAAAGCCUGCAGCUUAACUGUAGAAUUGCCAUUGAUACUGGAUUUCUUGAAUCUAAUAGAAGUAGGCGGAAUAUGACAUGUAGCGGUGAAAUGCUUAGGUAUGUCAUAGAACACCGAUAGCGAAGGCAGCUUACUAUGUUAGUAUUGACGCUAAUGCACGAAAGCGUGGGGAGCGAACAGGAUUAGAUACCCUGGUAGUCCACGCCGUAAACGAUGAUUACUCGCUAUUGGCGAUACACUGUCAGUGGCUAAGCGAAAGUGAUAAGUAAUCCACCUGGGGAGUACGGUCGCAAGGUUGAAAC
rnacentral:rRNA from 1 species